rnacentral:rRNA from 1 species
UACGUAGGGGGCAAGCGUUGUCCGGAUUUAUUGGGCGUAAAGCGCACGUAGGCGGUCCGUUAAGUCGGAUGUGAAAGCCCCCGGCUCAACCGGGGAAGUGCAUCCGAAACUGGCGGGCUAGAGUACGAAAGAGGGUCGCGGAAUUCCCGGUGUAGUGGUGAAAUGCGUAGAGAUCGGGAGGAACACCAGUGGCGAAGGCGGCUCGCUGGGCCGGUCCUGACGCUGAGACGCGAAGGCGUGGGGAGCGAACGGG